rnacentral:rRNA from 1 species
UACAGAGACUGCAAGCGUUAUUCGGAUUCACUGGGCGUAAAGGGUGCGCAGGCGGUUGGGUGUGUCAGAUGUGAAAUCCCGAGGCUCAACCUCGGAACUGCGUCUGAAGCUACUCGACUAGAGUACUGGAGAGGGUAACGGAAUUCACGGUGUAGCAGUGAAAUGCGUAGAUAUCGUGAGGAACACCAGAGGCGAAGGCGGUUACCUGGACAGUUACUGACGCUCAGGCACGAAAGCAUGGGGAGCAAAAGGG